rnacentral:rRNA from 1 species
GGUAGUCCACGCCGUAAACGAUGUCAACUAGCCGUUGGAAUCCUUGAGAUUUUAGUGGCGCAGCUAACGCAUUAAGUUGACCGCCUGGGGAGUACGGCCGCAAGGUUAAAACUCAAAUGAAUUGACGGGGGCCCGCACAAGCGGUGGAGCAUGUGGUUUAAUUCGAAGCAACGCGAAGAACCUUACCAGGUCUUGACAUCCUCUGACCUCCCUGGAGACAGGGCCUUCCCCUUCGGGGGACAGAGUGACAGGUGGUGCAUGGUUGUCGUCAGCUCGUGUCGUGAGAUGUUGGGUUAAGUCCCGCAACGAGCGCAACCCUUAUUGUUAGUUGCCAUCAUUCAGUUGGGCACUCUAGCGAGACUGCCGCAGACAAUGCGGAGGAAGGUGGGGAUGACGUCAAAUCAUCAUGCCCCUUAUGACCUGGGCUACACACGUGCUACAAUGGAGAGUACAACGAGUCGCAAAGCCGCGAGGCUAAGCCAAUCUCUUAAAGCUCUUCUCAGUUCGGAUUGUAGGCUGCAACUCGCCUACAUGAAGCCGGAAUCGCUAGUAAUCGCGGAUCAGCACGCCGCGGUGAAUACGUUCCCGGGUCUUGUACACACCGCCCGUCACACCACGAGAGUUUGUAACACCCAAAGCCGGUGCGGUAACCGCAAGGAGCCAGCCGUCUAAGGUGGGAUAGAUGAUUGGGGUGAAGUCGUAACAAGGUAACCUUUACGGAGCCAGCC